rnacentral:rRNA from 1 species
AGCAGCCGCGGUAAUUCCAGCUCCAAUAGCGUAUAUUAAAGUUGUUGCAGUUAAAAAGCUCGUAGUUGAAUUUCGGGAUCAAUAUGUCGGUCGUGCCUUCGGUACGUACUGGUAUCAUUGGUCUCUCCUUUCUGACGAACCAUGAUGUCAUUAAUUUGGUGUUAUGGGGAGUUAGGACUGUUACUUUGAAAAAAUUAGAGUGUUUAAAGCAGGCUUUAGCUUGAAUACAUUAGCAUGGAAUAAUGAAAUAGGACGUUCGAACCUAUUUUGUUGGUUUCUAGGAUCAACGUAAUGAUUAAUAGGGAUAGUUGGGGGCAUUAGUAUUCAAUUGUCAGAGGUGAAAUUCUUGGAUUUAUUGAAGACUAACUACUGCGAAAGCAUUUGCCAAGGAUGUUUUCAUUAAUCAAGAACGAAAGUUAGGGGAUCGAAGACGAUCAGAUACCGUCGUAGUCUUAACCAUAAACUAUGCCGACCAGGGAUCGGAUGAUGUUAAUUUUUAAUGACUCAUUCGGCGCCUU